UAUUCCCCUCUUCCCCUCGUAUUUAUUCAUCUUAUUUGAUCGACUACACGAAGGAAAAAAAUGCUGAGAGUGAGAAUUGCAGCAUGCGCGAAGAGAAUCAUCGGAAGCUUCUUCCUCCGUCGCUACUGAAUGGGUAAUUGGAAAGGAAAUGGAGGAAGUUUUGACCAUUAAAAACACUGAGAUUGCAAAGCAUCUAUCACUCCCACCGGUCAAGCUUCACUGCAGCAUGCUUGCUGAGGAUGCUAUGAAAGCAGCUGUUAAAGAUUUAGUAUCUAAGCGUGGGCCAGCCUCUGGGGAGAAAGCUGCCACAGCAUGAUUUUCUAAUUUCUAGUAUGAUGAGGUGAACAACCAUUAGUUUGAUUUUCUAAUGGUGUUAACUAGUCAAUUGCACAUAAUUUCACCAUCUAGAGGCCAAACUUUUCUUGGUUGGUGCUAGUUAGCUAGACUCUACUGUCAUAACACGGAGUAAAUAUUUGAUUUAGCUUUGAAAGUAAAUAUUUGAUUUAGCUUUGAAACCAGAUGAGUGGAGAUUAUCAGAUUAUGGCUGAA